CAUAGGUUAAUGAGGCGAACCGGGGGAACUGAAACAUCUAAGUACCCCGAGGAAAAGAAAUCAACCGAGAUUCCCCCAGUAGCGGCGAGCGAACGGGGAGCAGCCCAGAGCCUGAAUCAGUAUGUGUGUUAGUGGAAGCGUCUGGAAAGGCGCGCGAUACAGGGUGACAGCCCCGUACACAAAAAUGCACAUGCUGUGAGCUCGAUGAGUAGGGCGGGACACGUGGUAUCCUGUCUGAAUAUGGGGGGACCAUCCUCCAAGGCUAAAUACUCCUGACUGACCGAUAGUGAACCAGUACCGUGAGGGAAAGGCGAAAAGAACCCCGGCGAGGGGAGUGAAAAAGAACCUGAAACCGUGUACGUACAAGCAGUGGGAGCACGCUUAGGCGUGUGACUGCGUACCUUUUGUAUAAUGGGUCAGCGACUUAUAUUCUGUAGCAAGGUUAACCGAAUAGGGGAGCCGAAGGGAAACCGAGUCUUAACUGGGCGUUAAGUUGCAGGGUAUAGACCCGAAACCCGGUGAUCUAGCCAUGGGCAGGUUGAAGGUUGGGUAACACUAACUGGAGGACCGAACCGACUAAUGUUGAAAAAUUAGCGGAUGACUUGUGGCUGGGGGUGAAAGGCCAAUCAAACCGGGAGAUAGCUGGUUCUCCCCGAAAGCUAUUUAGGUAGCGCCUCGUGAAUUCAUCUCCGGGGGUAGAGCACUGUUUCGGCAAGGGGGUCAUCCCGACUUACCAACCCGAUGCAAACUGCGAAUACCGGAGAAUGUUAUCACGGGAGACACACGGCGGGUGCUAACGUCCGUCGUGAAGAGGGAAACAACCCAGACCGCCAGCUAAGGUCCCAAAGUCAUGGUUAAGUGGGAAACGAUGUGGGAAGGCCCAGACAGCCAGGAUGUUGGCUUAGAAGCAGCCAUCAUUUAAAGAAAGCGUAAUAGCUCACUGGUCGAGUCGGCCUGCGCGGAAGAUGUAACGGGGCUAAACCAUGCACCGAAGCUGCGGCAGCGACGCUGAUGCGUUGUUGGGUAGGGGAGCGUUCUGUAAGCCUGUGAAGGUGUGCUGUGAGGCAUGCUGGAGGUAUCAGAAGUGCGAAUGCUGACAUAAGUAACGAUAAAGCGGGUGAAAAGCCCGCUCGCCGGAAGACCAAGGGUUCCUGUCCAACGUUAAUCGGGGCAGGGUGAGUCGACCCCUAAGGCGAGGCCGAAAGGCGUAGUCGAUGGGAAACAGGUUAAUAUUCCUGUACUUGGUGUUACUGCGAAGGGGGGACGGAGAAGGCUAUGUUGGCCGGGCGACGGUUGUCCCGGUUUAAGCGUGUAGGCUGGUUUUCCAGGCAAAUCCGGAAAAUCAAGGCUGAGGCGUGAUGACGAGGCACUACGGUGCUGAAGCAACAAAUGCCCUGCUUCCAGGAAAAGCCUCUAAGCAUCAGGUAACAUCAAAUCGUACCCCAAACCGACACAGGUGGUCAGGUAGAGAAUACCAAGGCGCUUGAGAGAACUCGGGUGAAGGAACUAGGCAAAAUGGUGCCGUAACUUCGGGAGAAGGCACGCUGAUAUGUAGGUGAAGUCCCUCGCGGAUGGAGCUGAAAUCAGUCGAAGAUACCAGCUGGCUGCAACUGUUUAUUAAAAACACAGCACUGUGCAAACACGAAAGUGGACGUAUACGGUGUGACGCCUGCCCGGUGCCGGAAGGUUAAUUGAUGGGGUCAGCGCAAGCGAAGCUCUUGAUCGAAGCCCCGGUAAACGGCGGCCGUAACUAUAACGGUCCUAAGGUAGCGAAAUUCCUUGUCGGGUAAGUUCCGACCUGCACGAAUGGCGUAAUGAUGGCCAGGCUGUCUCCACCCGAGACUCAGUGAAAUUGAACUCGCUGUGAAGAUGCAGUGUACCCGCGGCAAGACGGAAAGACCCCGUGAACCUUUACUAUAGCUUGACACUGAACAUUGAGCCUUGAUGUGUAGGAUAGGUGGGAGGCUUUGAAGUGUGGACGCCAGUCUGCAUGGAGCCGACCUUGAAAUACCACCCUUUAAUGUUUGAUGUUCUAACGUUGACCCGUAAUCCGGGUUGCGGACAGUGUCUGGUGGGUAGUUUGACUGGGGCGGUCUCCUCCUAAAGAGUAACGGAGGAGCACGAAGGUUGGCUAAUCCUGGUCGGACAUCAGGAGGUUAGUGCAAUGGCAUAAGCCAGCUUGACUGCGAGCGUGACGGCGCGAGCAGGUGCGAAAGCAGGUCAUAGUGAUCCGGUGGUUCUGAAUGGAAGGGCCAUCGCUCAACGGAUAAAAGGUACUCCGGGGAUAACAGGCUGAUACCGCCCAAGAGUUCAUAUCGACGGCGGUGUUUGGCACCUCGAUGUCGGCUCAUCACAUCCUGGGGCUGAAGUAGGUCCCAAGGGUAUGGCUGUUCGCCAUUUAAAGUGGUACGCGAGCUGGGUUUAGAACGUCGUGAGACAGUUCGGUCCCUAUCUGCCGUGGGCGCUGGAGAACUGAGGGGGGCUGCUCCUAGUACGAGAGGACCGGAGUGGACGCAUCACUGGUGUUCGGGUUGUCAUGCCAAUGGCACUGCCCGGUAGCUAAAUGCGGAAGAGAUAAGUGCUGAAAGCAUCUAAGCACGAAACUUGCCCCGAGAUGAGUUCUC
rnacentral:rRNA from 1 species